GGGGAAUAUUGGACAAUGGGCGAAAGCCUGAUCCAGCCAUGCCGCGUGUGUGAAGAAGGUCUUCGGAUUGUAAAGCACUUUAAGUUGGGAGGAAGGGCUGCAAGUUAAUACCUUGUAGUUUUGACGUUACCAGCAGAAUAAGCACCGGCUAACUUCGUGCCAGCAGCCGCGGUAAUACGAAGGGUGCAAGCGUUAAUCGGAAUUACUGGGCGUAAAGCGCGGUAGGUGGUUUGGUAAGAUGGAUGUGAAAUCCCCGGGCUCAACCUGGGAGGUGCAUCUAAAACUGGGGGACUUGAGUGCAGGAGAGGAAAGUGGAAUUCCUAGUGUAGCGGUGAAAUGCGUAGAUAUUAGGAGGAACACCAGUGGCGAAGGCGACUUUCUGGACUGUAACUGACGCUGAGGCUCGAAAGCGUGGGGAGCAAACA
rnacentral:rRNA from 1 species